ACGGGGAGGGCGACGGGGCCUGGCGCCUGGGGCCGGCCGCGCUCUCGGGCUCGCAGGCGCUGGGUCUCGGCUCCGGCUCCGGCUCCGCGCCGCUGGCUCUGCGUCGCUCGCACUCCAGCCGGGGGCACCCUCAUCCCAGGCUGACUGACGUCCCUGGCACCCAAAUGUCGCGGGGAGUGCGGGGCCAGGGUGCGCCCUCCCUCCUCCUCCAGCCAGUGAAACCCGGGACAGCGGCACCCAGCCCCAGGGCGGAGGCCGUCUCUGCUGCGCGCAGCGACGCACCCAGGCCCAAGGGCCGGGAGAUCCGCGGGGAACCCGGAGACCUGCGUCCCAGAGGGGCCGAGGGUUGCACCGCGCCCGCUCCCACGGGCCUCUUCCGAGAGGACGCUUCUCCCUCGUGUCCGCGGGAAGUCCUCGGAUCCUGGAUGAGAAAGAGCCUUCUCUCACCGGCUCCCAGACCCCGCGCUUUUUAAUACCUGUCCUUGCAGAGCGACUGGUCAUUUUAGGCCCGAGUCGAGCCUCUCUUGAUUAAUAAAUGAAUAUGGCUCGUUUUGUUUUAA
rnacentral:lncRNA from 10 species